rnacentral:rRNA from 1 species
GUAGGUGGCAAGCGUUGUCCGGAAUUAUUGGGCGUAAAGCGCGCGCAGGCGGUUCUUUAAGUCUGAUGUGAAAGCCCACGGCUCAACCGUGGAGGGUCAUUGGAAACUGGAGAACUUGAGUACAGAAGAGGAAAGCGGAAUUCCACGUGUAGCGGUGAAAUGCGUAGAGAUGUGGAGGAACACCAGUGGCGAAGGCGGCUUUCUGGUCUGUAACUGACGCUGAGGCGCGAAAGCGUGGGGAGCAAACAGGAUUAGAUACCCUGGUAGUCCACGCCGUAAACGAUGAGUGCUAGUGUUAGGGGGUUUCCGCCCCCCUUAGUGCUGCAGCUAACGCAUUAAGCACUCCGCCCUGGGAGUACGGCCGCAAGGCUG